rnacentral:lncRNA from 1 species
AUGCACCUGAUUAGUUUGUUACAGCUGAGCUCCAGUGGUGCCAUUCAUUCGGCUUGGACCUCAUCUAAGAGGGUUUCCAUGGCAACUAACUGCCAUGUGUUGCACCGGAGAUUUGAUGGGCAAUGCAUGAGGUCAGAGAAGAUGCUGGGAGAUUCCCCCCUCCUCACUUAAAGGGACUUCAAGAAAACGCACCAAUGUUGCUCAAAUUUUUUAAGCCUCCCAACGACAUGAUAGCGAGGAUUAUCAGUCAGUGUUGAUAUAACGAUGAAAACCUGAAAUAAAAUCUCGUAGAGUCUGGUAGAAGUGUUUUUUUUCAUUGCCCAUUAAAAGAUUGUAAAGGGCUUGACAUAAAUUUAUAGUUUCUCGUGGUGAAAGACAGAGGGUGGAUCAUCACUUAUUUUUCUCACAUAUGGCCCACACAUUUUAGGAAACUGGCAUUUCCUAGUGGAAAGUAUUAUACAAGACAGCAGGCUGAGACUUGAUAGCACCAAAUACAGUAGCUCGGCUGGACAGUGCUUUGACAGCUGCUCUCAAAGGACAGGUUUGGUGGAAUGUGAAAAGCAAUGUACAGUAACCCUGCCAUCCUUGCAAUGAGCCCAAUCAGAAUGGCACCGAUGGUUAAUCAAAUUCUAAAUGAGAUAAAGCUACGAUGGCCAAGAACCUGAGUGCAUGGUUUGUCAUAUCUGCCAUGUGUCAGUAGAUUCAAACUCAUAUUGAACAGGACUUCUGGGGAUCGAUAGCAACUUGCUAUCCUACCCCUAUCAUGUCAUGCUGCCUCUGAAUUCAGCUCUCACCUCUAGCUAUUGGGAUGCACGCUAUUUUGGUAUGUGACAUCCAUCCUUUUAAUUCGCUGUGACAACGUUAGUGUAAGUUCUGAAUCAUAUGCUGACACUGAGGAACACUGUAGGAAAAGUGAGGCAGUAAAAAGAAUAGUCUGUGCUGCACACAGAUGUGAUUGCAUCUGAGUAGAACACUUGUGUCUCUUUAGAGAGCAGGACGGACAUGCAGAACAUUUAUAAAUUAAUUACAGGAGAUGGGUCAGCAGGUCUAAUGCACACUUGAUUGAUUCUACCUAUUGGUUUGCUAAUGGAAUUGUGUUUUUAAUAAACCCCAAUCUUAGGCUCCUCUCUGGUCUAUUUCUCUCUCUCUCUCUCUCUCUCUGAUGAACGAAAUACAAGAGUAUGUUUCACCAUGGCUGUGUGUUCAGUGAAGGAGGGAGAACUCAUCUUUCACUCUGUUUUUAUGACUUGAUUUAUUCUGUUUUUUUCAGUUAUUUUUUUUGUUUUGUGUUGUUGUUGUUGUUUUUUUUCCCAUUUCAUUUGUAGAGGACCGUGAUGUUCUCUGGUAAAUCUUAAUAAACAUUGUGUUUUAAAAAUCUCUCUCUCUCUCUCUCUCUCUCUCCUUCUCCUCAAAACAGUUUAUUUCACUAUACUUAAUGUAAUUUUGAAGUAGCACUGUGUGAUUUUUUUUUUUAGCUUUGAAUCAUGUCAAGACUUCAGGUCCAAAUUAAUUAAUAAAUGCAGAGAAAUUCUCAUCUCAUCUCUAAUGCAAAUAAAGCUAUAACCUAGAAAUGUUUAGCCUAGCUUAGCACAAAGCCUGGUAACAUGGGGAAACAUUACAAGUAGCCUGGUUCUGUCUACUGGAAACAAAAUCUGCCUCACACCAGUCUAAA